UCCGCUCCUCUCGGUGUGGCAUUUCGUCGUCCUGAAGACUGCUAUCCCCUCAGUUCGGCACUUCAGUUUUGGGCAAGGUUAUACUUUAUUUCACCAUGGGGCUGCCCGUUCUCGCUCCCUCGUCCUGGCCAUGCUCAUGCUUGUGCUGCUCUACUUGGCGCUGGUCAGCAGCGCUCGCAAGACCAGCCACAAGCCGGCUGCCCCGGGCACCCACGCUGGCUACAAUAACCCUCCGGUUUCCUCCCAUAGCAGACACCGAAAAGCUCCUCCUGAAACCCCAGCGAACACUGGCUACGGGGUCCAUGUGUUCAUGGACGACUAUCGUCAUGGAGGUCCUAAUCCUCCACCUCAUUGUUGUGGUCAUUGAGGAGCCGGUUUGACAGCAUGACCUGAUGAAAGAUGAGGAGAAGAAAAUUCACAAUAGUAAAACAAAUAUCACUCUCCCUACAUUCGUUGCUGUGUCCAUCACUCCAUCUAUAUGUGUUUACUUUUGAUUGUCCUUCUUGGCAUGGUGAUGAGUCAAAGCUGAUGACGACUGCAGUCUCAGCAAAAAAUAAUCAUAGCUUUUAGGGUGCCGGCUGUUGUAAUUUAUUCAGGGUUGCAUAAUUGAUAUUGUUUAGAAGUGGACUUCAUGUACCCAGCGCCGACACUUGAUUUAGAUGUUCACCGAGUGUGUAGUAGACGGCAAUUUUUUGAACCAUUGCCCAUAUAGACGAUUGGAGACAAGGACUGUGGAUGUGUUGAGAUCAUAAUCCUUAAUUGUCUUUAAUCAUUGUCUGGAUCAAAUUCAAUUCCUUGAGUUAAAAAACUUCAAAUUCUCAUGAUCAA